rnacentral:rRNA from 1 species
AACGAACGCCGGCGGCAGGCUUAACACAUGCAAGUCGAACGCCCCGCAAGGGGAGUGGCAGACGGGUGAGUAACGCGUGGUAUCUACCCAGAUCUACGGAACAACAGUUGGAAACGACCGCUAAUACCGUAUACGCCCUACGGGGGAAAGAUUUAUCGGAUUUGGAUGAGCCCGCGUUGGAUUAGCUAGUUGGUGGGGUAAUGGCCUACCAAGGCGACGAUCCAUAGCUGGUCUGAGAGGAUGAUCAGCCACACUGGGACUGAGACACGGCCCAGACUCCUACGGGAGGCAGCAGUGGGGAAUAUUGGACAAUGGGCGCAAGCCUGAUCCAGCCAUGCCGCGUGAGUGAUGAAGGCCUUAGGGUUGUAAAGCUCUUUCACCGAUGAAGAUAAUGACGGUAGUCGGAGAAGAAGCCCCGGCUAACUUCGUGCCAGCCGCCGCCGUAAAAC